AUGUUGUUGUAUGUAUUGAAACUAUGCAUUCAUGUAGACUCCCCCCAUUGUUGUUCCUCAAUAAAAGGCACGACCAAACUGGAGGAAGAGCGCGAAUCUCAGCCACACUUGCUGUGUGUGGUUUGCGCCCUUCUGCAGAAGAAAACGCUAA